ensembl:snRNA U6 U6 spliceosomal RNA
GUGCUUGCUUUGAUAAUACAUAUCCCAAAAUUGUAACAGUACAGAGAUUAGCAUGGCCUUUGCACAGGGGUGAUGUGCAAAUUCAUGGCACACUCCUUAUUUAA